rnacentral:rRNA from 1 species
UGGGGAAUAUUGGGCAAUGGGCGCAAGCCUGACCCAGCAACGCCGCGUGAAGGAAGAAGGCUUUCGGGUUGUAAACUUCUUUUAUAGGGGACGAAACAAAUGACGGUACCCUAUGAAUAAGCUCCGGCUAACUACGUGCCAGCAGCCGCGGUAAUACGUAGGGAGCAAGCGUUAUCCGGAUUUAUUGGGUUUAAAGGGAGCGUAGAUGGGUUGUUAAGUCAGUUGUGAAAGUUUGCGGCUCAACCGUAAAAUUGCAGUUGAUACUGUUAGUCUUGAGUACAGUAGAGGUAAGCGGAAUUCGUGGUGUAGCGGUGAAAUGCUUAGAGAUCAUACAGAACACCGAGUGCGAAGGCAGCUUACCAAACUAUAUCUGACGUUGAGGCACGAAAGCGUGGGGAGCAAACA